GUUUGCUUGCGGCGCGCAGGGUACUGAGUCACCGCGGUGGCCACGUCCUCGCGCUCGGGAGAUUUCUCCGGAGAAAGCGGAGCAAGGUUGGAAGAUUCCUCCAUGUCACUGUGUAUGGUAGGGAGCAUUCUAAUAUGGCCCCCGAGAUGCCUCAUCCUCUCUGGCCCUUGCACUUUCUCCCAGUUACUCAAUUGAACAUCCAUCUAGGUGUUGCUGUAAAGGGAUUGUGGGAUGUAAUUUAGGCCCAAAUCAGUUGGCUUGAAGAUAGGGAGCAUAUUUUCAGUGGGCCUGAUCACAUGAGCUCUUCAAAGGGACUAAGCUCUUCCCAACGUAAGAGAUUUUGAAGCCAUGAGACAGACGGACUUGAGGGAAGCUCUUCACUUUUGGCUCUCGUGACAGAGUCCACACGGCAAGAGCUCUGGACGGCCUCUGAGAGCUGACACCGGCUCCUGGCUCACAGGCCGCAAGAAAAUGGGGGACCUCAGUCCUCCAGUAACAAGAAAGACCAUAAAUUUCGCCACCACCUGAAUGAACUGGGAAGACAGUCCUGAGCUCCCGGCCUGUGAGGCUGUCUGAAGAGAAGCAAGAUUUACGAGCUGUCCCACCGUGAGCUGCAUAAUCUCUAAAGGAAAUUUCUUGUCAUCUACCCACAUCAGUACUUACAUUGGAAGAGCAACAGCAUUGGUGUCUUCCACCUGAACACCCUGAAAACAGAUCAUUGUUGACAAGCGUGGUCACCGGUGUGACAGCCUUCGCCCAGCUGCAUUGUGGAUUUGCCCAGAUGGCCACUGCUUACAGGCCAAGUGGACAGUGCUGUGUACGGGGGUCAGCAAACUGAAAGGGCUUUGCGAGCCAUACAGUUUCUGUUGCACUCAGCUCUGCUGUUGUGCUGUGAAAGAUAAAUGAUGCAGAAACACAUGAGCGUGACCAGAGUUGGUCCACAGGUUACAGUCUGUUGCCCCAUCUGUGGCCACACCACGUGAUUUGCAGAGCCCCGUGCAAAAGACCCACCCCACUGAACUAGAGAAUCACUGUGAAAGGGAGUCCCCUGUGUUCGGGCAUUAUGUCUACAAAGGACUGAUAAAUUACAACAUGCGAAUCCGUUAUCCACUGUCAACAUGUUUGCACAGAUUCAAUUACUCCUGAAGUACAGCCUGGAGAUCAUGGGAUGACAUUUCCACAAAGAAAGUGCCCCCUAACUUGGACCACUUGUUUCAUAGACAUAUGCCCCUGGUCACCAGGGACUCCUGAGCACAAAUAUGGGCUGCUUGAUGAGACUCCAUCUCACUUCUGGAGACAAUAAAUUCUUGUGUCCUAAAGGU